UGAAAACAUUGCUGAUGAAUUCUUGGAUAGGCUCGUGAAAUGGUGCCAGAACAUUAAGAUUUCAGAUCCUUUAGAAGAAGGUUGCAGGCUUGGCCCUGUUGUUAGUGCAGGACAGUAUGAGAAAAUAUUGAAGUUUGUCUCAACUGCUGAGCACGAAGGCGCAAAGAUUCUAUAUGGUGGAGUUCGCCCUAAGCACCUAAAGAAGGGAUACUUUGUUGAACCAGCCAUUAUUACUAAUGUUACAACCUCCAUGCAAAUAUGGAAAGAAGAAGUCUUUGGACCUGUUCUGUGUGUGAAGACUUUUAGUUCUGAAGAUGAAGCUAUCGAAUUAGCAAAUGAUACAAUAUAUGGGCUAGGUGCUGCUGUAAUAUCAAAUGAUUUAGAAAGGUGUGAUCGCGUAGCCAAGGCUUUACAGGCAGGAAUUGUGUGGGUUAAUUGCUCGCAACCAUGCUUCACUCAAGCCCCAUGGGGAGGCAACAAACGCAGUGGCUUUGGUCGAGAGCUAGGGGA
rnacentral:misc_RNA from 1 species